CCUACGGGAGGCAGCAGUGAGGAAUAUUGGUCAAUGGCCGGAAGGCUGAACCAGCCAAGCCGCGUGAAGGACGAAGGUGCCAAGCAUUGUAAACUUCUUUUGUCAAGGGACAAAAUCAGGCUCGAGAGCCUGCCUGAGUGUACCCGAAGAAAAAGCAUCGGCUAACUCCGUGCCAGCAGCCGCGGUAAUACGGAGGAUGCGAGCGUUAUCCGGAUUUAUUGGGUUUAAAGGGUGCGUAGGCGGGCUGUAAAGUCAGCGGUAAAAGCCCGGGGCUCAACCCCGGCGAGCCGUUGAAACUGGCAGUCUUGAGAGGGCGAGAGGUAGGCGGAAUGCGCGGUGUAGCGGUGAAAUGCUUAGAUAUUGUGCAGAACUCCGAUUGCGAAGGCAGCAUACCGGCGGCGAUCUGACGCUGAGGCACGAAAGCGUGGGGAUCGAACAGGAUUAGAUACCCCAGUAGUC
rnacentral:rRNA from 1 species